CUUAAACCGUGCUAGUCAUGGCUUCUGUGGAAGCCAUGACAAGAUCGCAGCAGAAGUUGCUUGAAGCUGGCCGGGCGAAGUUGGCGAAGCACAAGGAGAGGAAUAGUAAGAGUAAGAAUAGGAAUAAAAAUUCAUCGCCGGAGUAGAGGUCUGCUAUCCUGGAUGCGAAGAUCAAUAGUGAUGGAAGCCCUAGAGUUGCAAGGUCACCACGGGCAUCUUCCAACUCACAUCUAGACAUGAUCGACAGCAUCGAGCUUGGGAGAAAGGACGUGCAUAGCAUUGGUGCCGAGAUUGAUCAGCCUAAGAGAAUCGAGAUCGAGCUAGGUGAUGGCAGGAGAAACGAGGGGUUAGUUGAGGAUCAGACAGCCCCACUCUCUCUAUCGAAUGUCCCUAAAAGCUUCAAGAACGAAGCAGUUGAUGUUCAGAUGCAGGGUGAAGCCGACGAGGCGUUGAGGAAGCAGCCGGAAGCUGAAGAACAGGGAAUACAUUUUGGUGAGGAUUUCUCAGGCCUCGAGCAGCACAUUCAGGACUUAAACAUAAAAAAAAUUGCACUUCAGCGGGAGCUCGCAAAAGCCAGGGAAACGACACAGGAAGUUUUUGCAGAACAUUCUGCAGUUGUUGAGAAUUUCAAUGAUCAGGGGCUAGUGAUGAAACAGCUGAAAGAUGACAUAGAAAUGCUUGAGAGGAUUCUGGAACGGGAAGCAUUUGCAAGGGUUCUGAUGUCUGAAAGAGAUAGGUCUCGGCAAGAUUUUGGGGCAGCUCGAGAACAGUCCCUAACCAUGGCCAGUGACGUAGUUGUUUUGGAAAACCGCAUACGGACAUUGAGGUCUGAUGAGCUGAAAAUGAAGAAAGACAUGAUCAAUUUAAUUUGCGAGAAGGAUUCCCUCAGAAAGCAAGCUGUUAAUUUGUAACAGGAUCGUGUCCACUUACAGAGCUUAAUUGAUACGUUGCAGGAAGAGAAGAAGGUUCUGCAGGUUCGUCUACGUCAGUUAGCUCUUGGUGAACGAGAAGUUACUAACAGAAAUGAAAACUCAGAAGCAGUGCAGUUGAGACAGCGACUCUUCGCAGAUGCCUCAACGUCCACUGAUGAUUUACCUUCUCCACUUCGAACAUCCACUGAAGGUUCUUCAAAUCCUUUGCCAAUCCAUUCCUUGACUCCUGGCACCAAGGUCGAAAACUUGUGCAGCCUCUUUCUAGUCAAAGCAUUGCAUAUUCUUCGUACUUUAGGCCAACCAAUGAGUCCUCACAAUCACCUUUCAGGCAGUCUCCUCUGUCAAGUAAUAGUUAUGCUCAUCACUUUCUCUCUGAUCUUGGGCAUUCAUCUUUAUCAAGGUCAACGAACAACCCUCAAAGUGGUGGGUAUCGAAGUAUUCAACUUCCAGCAUCUUGUACAUCUAUACCAGCAGAUCUGAUGAAAAUCAUCCGUAACAUCAGUGAUGUCAUUAUUUCAAUUAGUGAAGAGAGAGUCACUAUUGUAAAUGCAUUGAAGACGGAGUCUAAAGUUGCCGCAGACUUGAGGGCUUUAAACGCUGAUCUGUCUAGACAGCUGGAGUCCACCAAAGGGCAGUUAGAACGACUUGCAGCUCAAAGAAUGCUUUUUAGGAGUUCCAGUAAUGAGCUAACCACGGCAAGAAACGCAGCAGCCUUACACUCUUUCGAUGAAGGGGAUGAAGUUGUUGAUCGCAUGUUAAUUUGGAUCAUGCAGCUGUUCCUUAGUAGAACUUCUUCAAGACGAAAUGGAGUGAAAAAGCUGUAGCGCCGGACAUACUUCCACUACUAUGCAGAAGGUGGUAAUUCUGAUGACCAACGGAAGCUUUCAUUUACUGUCUGUCUGCAAAGGCUGGCAAGGGCGUGUAGGUCACAUGAGGUAAUGACUUCCUCUGCUGUCAGGUACGUUUUCUUCCGCACUGCCAUUGCACGAGUAUCAAUUAAGAACGCUACUGCUUACUGUCAAGGUGAAUUUCAGAUUCAGCUUCUUUUGAUGUUACUAUCAUGAUGCUGGCAGGCCCAAACUUUGGCUCCCUCGUCAUUAUAUAUUUCUAUUUCGAGAAAUACUUAUAGUUUGUCCACAGCCAUGGUAAUUGUUUCCAGAACAUUGAGAGGGUUGACAUACAUGUUUGGGAUCUGAGUAGCAAUGUCUAGUGAGAAAGUACUCGACAUAUUAUAAUUAGAAUAGGUAGUAAGUGGAAGCAAGUGGAUUUUCAUGUCACAGAGAAGUUGCUUCAUCAUCAGGAUACAUUAGUAUGUCUGCUUUUUAAAACCUGAUAGUGGUGAGUUGUAUAAGGAGAUUGUGGAUACUUAAGCAAACUGCAGAAUAUCCUCGAUGGUAUUGUGGGAUAGAAAUAGACCAACCCAGUUAGGGUAGGAGGAAUAGUCAACGCAGAGGAACUUGGAGAGUGUCAUUUUAGGAAUCUUUUGUUGUGAUUUGUGUAGAAACUUAUCUUCAAGUAAUUCUGAAAUUAACACGAAAUGCAAAUGGUGUUGGGUACAGAUACAGGGUAUUUCUUUCAGGUGCCUUAAUUUGCAUCUGAGAAAAUAUCUUUCAAUGCAGCCAACAGCUUGACUGUGCUUUUAUUGGGUAGCAUCUUGCACAACAUUUAGUAGCUUGGCUUUCUACGUUGAAACAUUUCAACAGACAUUCCCAAAUUUAGAAUCAACAAUUAAGAUAUCAUCUUCUGUGGUCUGUAUUUAAAUAAUGCUGUGUGUGUACCACAAAAUGAAUUGUUUAUUCUCAUCUUAACCUUCUUUGAUAAC